rnacentral:rRNA from 1 species
UGCGUAGGAGGCGAGCGUUGUCCGGAAUCACUGGGCGUAAAGCGCGUGUAGGCGGGAAGGCAAGUCUGCUGUGAAAGCGCCUGGCUUAACCGGGCGAGGUCGGCGGAAACUGCUUACCUGGAGGCCGGUAGAGGGGGGUGGAAUUCCCGGUGUAGUGGUGAAAUGCGUAGAGAUCGGGAGGAACACCUGUGGCGAAGGCGGCCCCCUGGGCCGCGCCUGACGCUGAGACGCGAAGGCGUGGGGAGCGAACGGG